rnacentral:rRNA from 1 species
UACGUAGGGGGCAAGCGUUGUCCGGAAUCAUUGGGCGUAAAGAGCGUGUAGGCGGCCAGAUAAGUCCGCUGUGAAAACUCGAGGCUCAACUUCGAGCUGUCGGCGGAAACUAUCUGGCUAGAGUCCGGAAGAGGAGAGUGGAAUUCCUGGUGUAGCGGUGAAAUGCGCAGAUAUCAGGAAGAACACCCGUGGCGAAGGCGGCUCGCUGGGACGGUACUGACGCUGAGACGCGAAAGCGUGGGGAGCGAACAGG